rnacentral:lncRNA from 12 species
GACCCAGGUGUUUUCUUCCCUGACACAGUUCAGCUUUACUGCUGCACAUGAAUCUCAUGGUACUCAGAAAAGGAAAUAGAGCUGGUUUGUACCAAGCUUCUGUAGCUAAUGACAUUUCUGGCACCUGUGUUUUUCAGGAUUAAGAAAAACUGGGCUGGCUGGACUAAAGCAGUGUUCCAAAAUGUCAGCUGGCCAGGGGUUGCACUGUUCUCUGGCUUUCCAUGUUACUCUGUAAAAUGCAAAUGAGGACUAUAUCUUUCCCACUGUCUUCUAAUUUCCCAGGUGAAGAAAACAAGCGUGCAUGCAAUAUUCAAGGUACAGGAAAACCAAGGGAUGAUGCAGUGACACCAGUGGUAAUUUCUGACUAGCUCUUUGAUUCUGUUUUAACAACUCAUAAUCAUCUUCUUCAUCAUCCCUUUUUUAAGAUAACCCUUUUACUGUCUGCCCACAAAACAUUAAGAUUUCUUUUCUGAGUAAAGGCUAAUUUAG